CUUGUACUCCCACCGUCCGAAAAUACUUGUCAUUGAAAUGGAUGUAUCUAGAUGUAUUUUAGUUCUAGACACAUCCAUUUUGAUGACAAGUAAUUCCGGACGGAGGGAGUACUUG
rfam:Triticum aestivum genome assembly, contig: Triticum_aestivum_CS42_TGACv1_scaffold_488649_6AS